UGUGGGAGUCUUCCUAUCAUUGUGAAGCGGAAUUCAUCAAGCAUUGGAUUGUUCACCCACUAAUAGGGAACGUGAGCUGGGAUUAGACCGAUGUCAGACACGUU
rnacentral:ncRNA from 1 species